UACGGAGGAUGCAAGCGUUAUCCGGAAUGAUUGGGCGUAAAGGGUCCGCAGGUGGCAAUGUAAGUCUGCUGUCAAAGCAUGAGGCUUAACCUCAUCAAGGCAGUGGAAACUACAUAGCUAGAGUACGGUCGGGGUAGAAGGAAUUCCUGGUGUAGCGGUGAAAUGCGUAGAGAUCAGGAAGAACACCGGUGGCGAAAGCGUUCUGCUAGACCUGUACUGACACUGAGGGACGAAAGCUAGGGGAGCGAAUGGG
rnacentral:rRNA from 1 species